GACGAACGCUGGCGGCGUGCUUAACACAUGCAAGUCGAACGGAAAGGCCCCUUCGGGGGUACUCGAGUGGCGAACAGGUGAGUAACACGUGAGUAACCUGCCCUUGACUUCGGGAUAACUUCAGGAAACUGGGGCUAAUACCGGAUAGGAAUCCUUGCUGCAUGGUGGGGGUUGGAAAGCUUCGGCGGUUUUGGAUGGACUCGCGGCUUAUCAGCUUGUUGGUGGGGUAGUGGCUUACCAAGGCUUUGACGGGUAGCCGGCCUGAGAGGGCGACCGGCCACAGUGGGACUGAGAUACGGCCCAGACUCCUACGGGAGGCAGCAGGGGGGAAUAUUGCACAAUGGGCGGAAGCCUGAUGCAGCAACGCCGCGGGCGGGAUGACGGCCUUCGGGUUGUAAAACGCUUUCAGCAGGGGCGAAGCUUGUGGUGACGGUACCUGCAGAAGAAGCACCGGCUAACUACGUG
rnacentral:rRNA from 1 species